rnacentral:SRP_RNA from 1 species
GGGGGUCAUGUGACCCCUCAGGUCACGUGACCAAAAUUUCUCCGCUAGAUUUAGCGGAAAAUUUUUCCGCUAGAUUUAGCGGGGAAAUUUUUCCGGUAGUUUUAGCGGGGAAAUUUUUUCGCUAGAUCUAGCGGGGAAAUUUUUCCGCGAAAUUUAGCGGGGAAAAUUUUCCGCUAGAUUUAGCGGGGAAGUUUUUCCCCUAGAUUUAGCGCGUAAAGUUUUUCCCCUAGAUUUAGCGGAGAAAUUUUU